UUUCUUAAAGUAAAUAACUUACAUUUAAUUUCGACUUAAAACUUUGUUUCUAAAAAAACUAAGAAUU
rnacentral:tRNA from 1 species